rnacentral:rRNA from 1 species
CCUACGGGGGGCAGCAGUGAGGAAUAUUGGUCAAUGGGCUUACGCCUGAACCAGCCAAGUCGCGUGAGUGAAGACUGCCCUAUGGGUUGUAAACCUCUUUUGUCAGGGAGCAACGCCUGCUACGUGUAUCCGGACUGAGAGUACCUGAAUAAAAAGCAUCGGCUAACUCCGUGCCAGCAGCCGCGGUAAUACGUAGGAUGCGAGCGUUAUCCGGAUGUAUUUGGUUUAAAGGGUGCGUAGGCGGACUGCCAAGUCAGCGGUAAAAUCGCGGGGCUCACCCUCUCUCCGCCGUCGAAACUGACUUU